CGCGUAGGCGGUUAGUUAAGAUAGAUGUGAAAUCCCUGGGCUUAACCUAGGAACUGCAUCUGUUACUGACUAGCUGGAGUAUUGUAGAGGGUAGUGGAAUUUCCGGUGUAGCGGUGAAAUGCGUAGAGAUCGGAAGGAACACCAGUGGCGAAGGCGGCUACCUAGACAAAUACUGACGCUGAGGCGCGAGAGCGUGGGAGCAAACA
rnacentral:rRNA from 1 species